rnacentral:lncRNA from 1 species
CACUGUCACAACUACCGAAUUACUAGUUUGUGUGGCUGUUUAAGUCCUAUGGAUUUAUUUUCUUCGCCUUGAUAAGAGCAGAAACUUAUCCGCUUGCCCCUUUUAUCCAAAUGAGUUUUUCCACCAUGAUGUAUGGUUCUUGAGUCACUUGAUUCAUAUGUUUAUGAUAUGUGGCCAUAAGUAUUUACUUUGUGGUUUUUAGAGGACUUGGUGAAUUGGCUCACAAUUGGUUGCAGACGAAAAGAAUUGCAGUAUAUCCAUUAAUUUAUCCGCGUUACUAAACUACAUUGGGUUUAAUAACCCCGUUGGCAACGCAUCAGUUUUCCAGAGCAUUCUCAGCUUUGAAGAUCGUGAAGAAGUCGUUUUGUGCAAUCGAAUAGGAGAUCAAUUUUUAUAAUGAUAGUCCUGCUUGUUUACUUUGGACAAAAAACAGGUUUUAACCGACAUUAGUAAUGAUGCUAUCAUUGAUCGUUUUCAGAAAAUGAAAGCCGUCAUGGGCAAUUGUAAAGGUAACAAUGUUAACUCUUAAUAUAGUCAAUUUUCUUUUCUGUCGACUUACACUUUUCGAUUUUGUGCCCCGCCUGAAUCCAUCAUAUUUCUGAAUCCGCCCCUGCCUGAAGUCUCUCACACAUACAUUUAUUUAUUUAUAAUUUCUGAAAAAUAUAAAUGCUACAGUCACCGAUAAUUCUACUAGUUUUGUUAUCGAUAAAACCAAAACGACGUCGUUUUAGUGCAAAAAAAUCAAAACGAUGUCGUUCAACUAAAUUCAUUCUUACUGGAAAAAAACUAAAAGUUAUUUUACUACCCAAAACGAUGUCGUUUUAAUUCCAUCGGUAACAAAAUCUGUAGAACUAUCGGUGACGGUAGCAUUUCUGUUUCUGAAAUAAUAUUAAUUUUUUUUUUUAUAUAAAAUUAUUAUUAAAAAAUAUUGAAGCUAAGUUUUUUGAAAAAAUAAGAUUACCCGUAUGUGUAGAGUUUUUUUUUUCUCAAUACACAAAUUAAAAUAAUAAAUAUUUUCUUUUUUUAAUAAAAAAUCCACAAUAAAGUUUAGUUUUAUGUAUAUUUAGAUUAGGAGCACUUAGAAAGUAAAAUAUUUAGAUCAAUUUUUUAAAAAAUUGAUAGCAAAAUUUUAUUUUGUAAGUAUAUUUUGAUUAGGAGUACUUAAAAGCAAACUAUUUAGAUCAAUUCUUUUUUAAAAAUUAUUUUUUGAUAAAAAAAUAAAAAUAUAUAUAUUAUAAAUAAAUGUUGCUUUGAGAAAAAAAUUUAUUUAUUUAUUUUAAUAGGUAUAUUGAGAGAGAGAAUUGUAAUCCCUACAUUUAAGAGAAAUAUUAUUAUUUUUGCACAAAAAUUAGCUCUUAAUAAAAUCUUAAAAAUAAUUUUAAAAAUAAUAAAAAUAAUUUUAAAAAUAAUAAAAAUAAGUACUAAUUUUAAAACUACAGCAAAUGUAAGGUCAUUGAAAUUUAGCCUUUAUAUUUUGAACCCAUCUAAAAAGGGGAAGCCCGGUAUAUUUUGUACAAUUCUUAAAGACACUACCAGAGCAUCAAAGUUAAGGUGAAAUACAAAAUUGUAUACCUUACCAUUUUCCCAAUUUCCUGAGGUUUCAAAAACAUGGCUCCCCCUUUUGCAAAUAUAUAUAUAUACAUAUAUAUAAAAACCUCGGGAAAUUAGAAAAAUGGUAAGGUAUACAAUUUUGUAUUUCACCUUAUACCUUACCAUUUUUCCAAUUUCCCGAGAUUUCAAAAACAUGGCUUCCCCUUUUGCAAACAAUAUAUAUAUAAUCUCUCUAUCCUAAUUUUUUUUCAUUUUCAAUUCACUUUCAAUCUCUUGAAAAUAGACAAACAAAUUAGGACGGAAGAAAUACAAAAUAAUUUUAUAGAAAAGAUAUGGUUGUGUUGUGGGAAUAAGUAUUUGUUACAGCAUUAGGCGAUCAUUCAUAGUGUUAUCGACUAGUAGGAAAGAACUAAGACGGAGAUAUUCUUUGACCAAAGAUGCUCAUGUCCCAGUCUCGUUAAGGUUUUAAAAAAAAUUACCAUGUAGCCUUCAAAUUCACAUGGUUUACUCCGAUGUACAUUGAAGAGGCCCAAAUAUAUCACAUGCAAAUAAACAACAUCAAUCCAAUUGAUCAUUUGUUUUGAAUUGAGAUGAUCUUUUUUAUUAAAAGGUAUUAAAGAUAUCUAUAUUAUACCAUCCAACAAAUUGCAUAAAAAAUGAAAAUAUAAUCAAUUAAAUCCCAAGAAUCCCUUUAUAUAGUCCAAAAAGUUUCUAAAAUAAUUGAAAAUAUCAUUAAAAAAUAAUUACAUGGAUUCAUUAGUUGUUCUUAUUAUGACUUUUUAUAAUGCAUGUAUAACAAAUUAUAUGUGAGUAGUGACAAACGAAAGCUAUUUUUAUUUUGUUUUAAAACAUUUAUACUACCCCCUCCUAGGAGAAAUUUUUGAGUACGUAACUUGAGGAUUAUUUAAUACUUUCGGAGUAAUUAUGGUGCCCAUUUGCACUUGGUACU